rnacentral:rRNA from 1 species
UACGAAGGGGGCUAGCGUUGUCCGGAAUUAUUGGGCGUAAAGAGCUCGUAGGCGGUUUGUCACGUCGGGAGUGAAAACUCGGGGCUUAACCCCGAGCCUGCUUCCGAUACGGGCUGACUAGAGGUAUGCAGGGGAGAACGGAAUUCCUGGUGUAGCGGUGAAAUGCGCAGAUAUCAGGAGGAACACCGGUGGCGAAGGCGGUUCUCUGGGCAUUACCUGACGCUGAGGAGCGAAAGCGUGGGUAGCAAACAGG